rnacentral:rRNA from 1 species
UACAGAGGUCUCAAGCGUUGUUCGGAUUCAUUGGGCGUAAAGGGUGCGUAGGCGGCGCGGUAAGUCGGGGGUGAAAUCUCGGAGCUUAACUCCGAAACUGCAUUCGAUACUGCCGUUCUUGAGGGAUGCAGAGGAGACUGGAAUUCCCGGUGUAGCGGUGAAAUGUGUAGAGAUCGGGAGGAACACCGGUGGCGAAGGCGGGUCUCUGGGCAUCUCCUGACGCUGAGGCGCGAAAGCGUGGGGAGCAAACGGG